rnacentral:rRNA from 1 species
UACGUAGGGUGCGAGCGUUGUCCGGAUUUACUGGGCGUAAAGCGCGUGUAGGCGGCCCGUUAAGUGGGGUGUGAAAGCCCGGGGCUCAACCCCGGGACGCCGCUUCAAACUGGCGGGCUUGAGGACGGAAGAGGGGAGUGGAAUUCCUGGUGUAGCGGUGAAAUGCGUAGAGAUCGUAAGGAAGACCAGUGGCGAAGGCGGGUCUCUGGACAGUUCCUGACACUGAGGCACGAAGGCCAGGGGAGCAAACGGG